rnacentral:rRNA from 1 species
AACGAACGCUGGCGGUAUGCCUAACACAUGCAAGUCGAACGAGACCUUCGGGUCUAGUGGCGCACGGGUGCGUAACGCGUGGGAACGUGCCCUUAGGCUCGGGAUAAUACCUCGUAAGGGGUGCUAAUAUCGGGUAAUGUCUUCGGACAAAAGAUAUAUCGUCUUUGUGUGGGCAGGGGUUGUUUUAGCCGGUUGGUAUGGAAAAAGCCUAUCACGGCGACGCUACAUAGCUGGGUUGAGAGGAUGCUCAGCCACACUGGGACUGGGAAACGGUCCAGACUACUACGGGAUGCAGCAGAGGGGAAUAUUGGACAAUGGGGGAAGGGCUGAUCGAGCUAUGCCGCGAGAGUGAUGAAGGCCGUAGGGAAGUAAAGCUCGUUUACCCGGGAUGAUAAUGACGGUACCGAGAGAAUAAGCACCGGCUAACUCCGUG